AUUGAACGCUGGCGGCAUGCCUUACACAUGCAAGUCGAACGGUAACGGGCCUUCGGGUGCCGACGAGUGGCGAACGGGUGCGUAAUACAUCGGAACGUGCCCGAUCGUGGGGGAUAACGAGGCGAAAGCUUUGCUAAUACCGCAUACGAUCUACGGAUGAAAGCAGGGGACCGCAAGGCCUUGCGCGGACGGAGCGGCCGAUGGCAGAUUAGGUAGUUGGUGGGAUAAAAGCUUACCAAGCCGACGAUCUGUAGCUGGUCUGAGAGGAUGAUCAGCCACACUGGGACUGAGACACGGCCCAGACUCCUACGGGAGGCAGCAGUGGGGAAUUUUGGACAAUGGGCGCAAGCCUGAUCCAGCCAGGCCGCGUGCAGGAUGAAGGCCUUCGGGUUGUAAACUGCUUUUGUACGGAACGAAAAGCCUUCUUUUAAUACAGGAGGGUCAUGACGGUACCGUAAGAAUAAGCACCGGCUAACUACGU
rnacentral:rRNA from 1 species